CAGCAUCCUGGGAUUGUCUCCGUGCAUCCUGCUUGCCAUUUUCUUCUGGUGCCCUCACUUGGUUCUGAAGUCUUGCGGGACAGAGAUCACAUAUGACUCCAGGAAGAUGGAGAAUUCGGCCAAGUUGCUCAACAGAAUGUCUACAGCUACCAGCUCUGGUCACCUGUCAGAGGGCCAGAUCUCUGUGUGCUCCCUGUGUUAAACCAGGCAGAUGACCACUACGUGUCUGGAAGCCGUGAACCAAUCAGCUCUGCUCUCCUCUAUGUUAGUAAUCCUGGAGUGGGUUUCUGGAAUUGCCCCUCAUGUAAUAAAACAUUAAGGAAUCUA